rnacentral:rRNA from 1 species
UACGUAGGGCGCAAGUGUUGUCCGGAAUUAUUGGGCGUAAAGAGCUCGUAGGCGGUUUGUCGCGUCUGCUGUGAAAACCUAAGGCUCAACCUUGGGCUUGCAGUGGGUACGGGGCAGACUAGAGUGCGGUAGGGGUGACUGGAAUUCCCGGUGUAGUGGUGAAAUGCGUAGAUAUCGGGAGGAACACCAGUGGCGAAGGCGACUACCUGGCCUGUUCUUGACGCUGAGGCGCGAAAGCUAGGGGAGCAAACGGG